rnacentral:rRNA from 1 species
GAGUUUGAUCCUGGCUCAGAGUGAACGCUGGCGGUAGGCCUAACACAUGCAAGUCGAACGGCAGCACAGUAAGAGCUUGCUCUUAUGGGUGGCGAGUGGCGGACGGGUGAGGAAUACAUCGGAAUCUACUUUUUCGUGGGGAUAACGUAGGGAACUUACGCUAAUACCGCAUACGACCUACGGGUGAAAGCAGGGGAUCUUCGGACCUUGCGCGAUUGAAUGAGCCGAUGUCGGAUUAGCUAGUUGGGCGGGGUAAAGGCCCACCAAGGCGACGAUCCGUAGCUGGUCUGAGAGGAUGAUCAGCCACACUGGAACUGAGACACGGUCCAGACUCCUACGGGAGGCAGCAGUGGGAAUAUUGGACAAUGGGCGCAAGCCUGAUCCAGCCAUACCGCGUGGUGAAGAAGGCCUUCGGUUGUAAGUACCUUUCGUUGGUAAGAAGUACCAGCCGGCGU